GUGGGGAAUAUUGGACAAUGGGCGAAAGCCUGAUCCAGCCAUGCCGCGUGUGUGAAGAAGGUCUUCGGAUUGUAAAGCACUUUAAGUUGGGAGGAAGGGCAGUAAGUUAAUACCUUGCUGUUUUGACGUUACCGACAGAAUAAGCACCGGCUAACUUCGUGCCAGCAGCCGCGGUAAUACGAAGGGUGCAAGCGUUAAUCGGAAUUACUGGGCGUAAAGCGUGCGCAGGCGGUUUUGUAAGACAGGCGUGAAAUCCCCGGGCUCAACCUGGGAAUUGCGCUUGUGACUGCAAGGCUGGAGUGCGGCAGAGGGGGAUGGAAUUCCGCGUGUAGCGGUGAAAUGCGUAGAUAUAGGAAGGAACACCAGUGGCGAAGGCGACUACCUGGACUGAUACUGACACUGAGGUGCGAAAGCGUGGGGAGCAAACAGGAUUAGAUACCCCAGUAGUCC
rnacentral:rRNA from 1 species